AAGAUGUUUAUGGUUAAAACUUAACAGUUUGGAUGCUUUGUCUCCUUAGGAGCGACGUGACGGACGCUGAGUUCUGCUGCUCCAUGGCUUGGAUCAGUUCAUCCACAGCGAACAAGUUAAGUGUAUUCAGAGACAGGGAGCUCUUCACUUUGCUUUGUCCCCAUCAUUUUUCUCUAAUUGCAGGACGUGGAGCUCAGCCCAAAGGAAAAGGCUCUUCUUGCUUUGGGUUGGUUUUGGCUACGUGGCUUUUGAGUGUAGGGCAGAACACAUUUCCUGGCUGAUAUUCAUACUAAAGGUUCAUCCUUGGAAUUUGGAAGCCAUUAAGGACUGGUUCCAGUGCUGGCCCUUUUGUAACCAGCACGAAAAUAUCUGUGGAAUGAAAAAAACGAACACCACAGCGUUCCCUGAAGUCCAGUGUGAUUGUCAGGUGCCAUUUAUCUGCCAUCUGAAUAACUGCAGGAGUAUUUUGUGUGCAACAGCUGGUCCCGAUGGAGGCUUUGACCUUCGAGGCAGUCUGUGCUACUGUACCACCGUGUGCCAUCCUCUGAGCCCCCAGCAGCUGGGAGAGGCAGCAAAUAUGUUCUGCAUGGCAACAGAGGAGAGUUUCAUUGCUUCGUCCCCCCCCAACCCCCAGGCCACCCUUGGAGGUGUUUAAGGCAGAAAUUACUGCCAUCAGUUCACAAACAUCCCCAGGAAUGAAGAAGUCACAGCUCAGGUGGGCCCAACGCUGCCACGCUGUGUGCAGCUGAGCAGAUUUUAUUGUUUAUUGUUUGCUUGGAUUCCACUAAGAAAAGCUUUGCUGUGUUCUGUUGUGCUGAUACAGCUUUACUUUCCUGCUUCUAUUGCAGGAAUGCAGAACCACAGCACCUUCUUGCUGCGGAUAAAGGUUGCUGACAUAAUAAAAAGUUGUUUACAAGUAUGCAAAAUCGGUAACGUUUCAAAACGUGGAUGUUAAUUACACGUAACUGAGAGCAGAA